CGGGGAGAGGGAGAAAGAGAGAGGGAGGGAGAGAGAGAGAGAGAGAGAGAGAGAGAGAGAGAGAGAGAGAGAGAGAGACUUACAUUAAGUAAUAAAAUCAAAAUUGCGUUCAGUUUUUUGUUAUUUUAUUUUCUUUAAUAAUAAAAUAAAAAGUUUCUAAAAUUAAUUGAAAUACUUAAAAAAGGGAUUCGUGAACAGUUCAUCCAGGUUUUUCGAAAUUUUGUUUAUUAUUUUCUUAGAUGAUAGAUAUUACACUUUUGAUCUCUUGCAAAGAAAAUCAGAAUCAUAGCAAACACGCGGGGCUUCCUGUCAAAGUUUACCUUACUAAUUGUCGGUAGAAAAAUUGGCGCUGUAUCUAAUGUCGAUAAAUUUCGGAUAUUCGCGCUUUUGUUGCUCGCUUCAAUCUUCAAUCGUUGGUGUCGCUAGUUAUUUUUAUUAUGGCAUCAUUGGCAUCCAAUUGUUCCUCGUAUCAUUACUUAUAUUACCUAUAUUUGUUCUCGCAUAUCGACAAUUAAACGUGUAUGUGUACCGGCUAUACCGUAGUCGAUCACGAAACGAAAAUUGGAACUUCGUUAUAAAGUAAAAGUUUGACCAGUAGGCCACUCACAAUGGUGAAACUAACGCCGGAAUUGAUAGAACAAUCAAUGCAAUACAUCAAUCCUGUGCGUGAUCGUGAAUUAGAUCUCAGAGGAUACAAAAUACCUACCAUCGAGAAUUUGGGAGCGACGUUGGAUCAAUUUGACACAAUAGACUUUUCUGAUAAUGAUAUACGUAAGCUGGAUGGAUUCCCACUUUUGAAAAGAAUACAGACCUUGUUUUUUAAUAAUAAUCGUAUUGUCAGAAUUGCUGAUGGGUUAGAGCAUUGCAUACCAAAUUUACAUACGUUGAUGUUAACUGGCAAUAUGAUACAAGAAUUGGGAGAUCUAGAGCCUCUGACACAAUUGAAAAAUCUUACAAGCUUGUGUCUACUCCAAAAUCCAGUAUCAGCUAAGCCACACUACAGACAAUACGUUGUGUAUAGAUUUCCGCAACUCAAAUUACUCGAUUUCCGAAAAAUUAAAAUGAAAGAACGCGAGGCAGCAAUAGAAUACUUCAGAAGUCAACGUGGCAAAGAAAUGGCACGUGAAAUAGCAAAGAAGGUGAAGGCUCAAACAGCGGGUUCAGCCGCGGAUAAACCUCUUACAACACCCGAGGAACGUAACAAAAUUCGUGAAGCUAUCACAAACGCCUCUUCCUUGGAAGAGGUACAAAGGCUUAGCAAAUUGCUGCAAUCUGGUCAUAUACCGGGUGAAGAACGACUGCAAAAUGGAAGCGGAGCUGUGGAACCUAUGGAAGAGGAUGAUGAUUAAUUAACUUGCGUUCUGUGUUGUGUUUAUAAUGUAAGCCUGAAAAAAAUGAAGGGACCCACAUUCGAAACCCGAAUAAAGAAUUCCUUCAAGAAAUUCAUCUCUUAUUAUUAAAUUUCCUUGUAUAUUAUAUUUUAUGUAAGGUAUUGAUGAAUUAAUGGGAUAAAAAUUCAUGGGCGCACUUUUAGUAAAUUUGACUCGAUAAAUAGAUAAACUGAUUUAUUAUUUAUUUUUAAAUAUUUUCAUAAAAUCUUGAAGUUUAUGAAAAAUUUUUUAGUUUUUAGUUUGUCAAUGAGAUCAAUGGAACGAAAGAAACUGCGUUUGCGAGUUUAUCAAAAUAUAUGACUGAAUUUAAUUAACUUUAAU